rnacentral:misc_RNA from 1 species
CCUGAAAGAACCUGCCUUUGUAGUGCUCACACAGAUUGUCUGAUAGAUGUAAAGAAGCAAGACGGCUGCGAAGUCGCGACACCUCGUGUCCCCUUCGUCUAGCGGUUAGGACUCCGCCCUUUCACGGCGGCAACAGGGGUUCGAAUCCCCUAGGGGACGCCACUUGCUGGCUGUGAGUGAAAGGCACAACCAACCGAUAUCUCAAAACUCAUCUUCGGGUGACGUUUGAGAUAUUUGCUCUUUAAAAAUCUGGAUCAAGCUGAAAAUUGAAACGACACACUGUUCAAGUGUGUUCGAGUCUCUCAAAUUUUCGCGACACGAUGAUGUUUCACGAAACAUCUUCGGGUUGUGA